AGGUGUUGCAUGGCUGUCUUCAGCUCGUGUCUUGAGAAGUUGGUUAAAGUACUAUAAUGAGCGCAACCCUCGUUUUGUGUUGCUAAGACAUGCUUUGAGGACUUUUUAAGGUCUCCAGACUUCCAUGCCACCACCAUCGUCGUGUCGUGAGACGUUGGGUUAAGUCCUAUAAUGAGCGCAACCC
rnacentral:ncRNA from 1 species